GGCAGCCGCCGAUCCCCAGGCGCCGGGAGCGCGGAGCAGCGUGCCCACACGCAGGACCAGCCACCAAUUAUUUUAGACCUGGCUGAUCCAGUGCACUGGACUUAUUUUCUCAGGAAAGCCCAUCCAUAGCUGUCCACAGGAACUCAGGGAGUCCUUUUGGUUGAAAGCGUCUGUGAGCCCUCACAGAAGGGCACCUCUGCCCUCAACUUCCCUUCCCUCCUGCUCCUUCAGGAUGGAGGCGAUGGCAGCCGGCGCUUCCUUACCUGACACCGGCGACUUCGACCGAAACGUGCCCCGGAUCUGCGGUGUGUGCGGAGACCGAGCCACCGGCUUCCAUUUCAACGCUAUGACCUGCGAAGGCUGCAAAGGCUUCUUCAGGUAAGUCCUCCCCAAGGGGGACGGGGAGGAGAGGAACGGGGUUUCCCAGGCAGAGGCCCUGCGUUUUCCGCGUCUCCUUCCCUACCAGGCCCGGGAACACGCCAGCUCUCACAGCCCCCGGGGGCGAUAGGGUCUCGAGGCUGUCUUCUUCCUCCUCUGCCCUCAACUCCAGCUCGUCCUCUGACCCCCUCAGAAACUGCUUUCCUGAGGUGGCACGUAGGUCCCCAUCCUUCCAUUACCCCUUGACCCGCAGCCCCCUGCACCGACCCACGUGUCUGUCCUCCCGGAGCA